UUAAGUGACUAAGCGUACACGGUGGAUGCCUUGGCAGUCAGAGGCGAUGAAAGACGUAGUAACUUGCGAUAAGCCCAGAUUAGGUAGUAACAACCAUUUGAGUCUGGGAUUUCUGAAUGGGGAAACCCACGUGCAUAAGCACGUAUCCUUACCUGAAUACAUAGGGUAAGGAGGCGAACCGGGGGAACUGAAACAUCUAAGUACCCCGAGGAAAAGAAAUCAACCGAGAUUCCGAAAGUAGCGGCGAGCGAAAUUGGACUAGCCCUUAAGCUUUACACGCGUUAGACGAACGGUCUGGAAAGUCCGACGAUACAGGGUGAUAGUCCCGUAGUUGACGACGUGUGUUCAGUGAAAUCGAGUAGGGCGGGACACGUGAUAUCCUGUCUGAAUAUGGGGGGACCAUCCUCCAAGGCUAAAUACUACUGACUGACCGAUAGUGAACCAGUACCGUGAGGGAAAGGCGAAAAGAACCCCUGUGAGGGGAGUGAAAUAGAACCUGAAACCGUGUACGUACAAGCAGUAGGAGCAGGCUUGUCCUGUGACUGCGUACCUUUUGUAUAAUGGGUCAGCGACUUAUAUUCAGUGGCAAGGUUAACCAUCUAGGGGAGCCGUAGGGAAACCGAGUCUUAACUGGGCGUUCAGUCUCUGGAUAUAGACCCGAAACCAGGUGAUCUAGCCAUGGGCAGGUUGAAGGUUGAGUAACAUCAACUGGAGGACCGAACCGACUAAUGUUGAAAAAUUAGCGGAUGACUUGUGGCUAGGGGUGAAAGGCCAAUCAAACCUGGAGAUAGCUGGUUCUCCCCGAAAGCUAUUUAGGUAGCGCCUCGGACGAAUACUACUGGGGGUAGAGCACUGUUAAGGCUAGGGGGUCAUCCCGACUUACCAACCCUUUGCAAACUCCGAAUACCAGUAAGUACUAUCCGGGAGACACACGGCGGGUGCUAACGUCCGUCGUGGAGAGGGAAACAACCCAGACCGCCAGCUAAGGUCCCAAAUUACUACUAAGUGGGAAACGAUGUGGGAAGGCUCAGACAGCCAGGAUGUUGGCUUAGAAGCAGCCAUCAUUUAAAGAAAGCGUAAUAGCUCACUGGUCGAGUCGGCCUGCGCGGAAGAUGUAACGGGGCUAAGUAGUAAACCGAAGCUGCGGCAAUGUGCUUUUGCACAUUGGGUAGGGGAGCGUUCUGUAAGCGGUUGAAGAUGUGUGGUAACGCAUGCUGGACGUAUCAGAAGUGCGAAUGCUGACAUGAGUAACGAUAAAGGGGGUGAAAAACCUCCUCGCCGGAAGACCAAGGGUUCCUGUCCAACGUUAAUCGGGGCAGGGUAAGUCGACCCCUAAGGCGAGGCCGAAAGGCGUAGUCGAUGGGAAACGGGUUAAUAUUCCCGUACUUCUUACAAUUGCGAUGGGGGGACGGAGAAGGCUAGGUGGGCCUGGCGACGGUUGUCCAGGUUCAAGUGCGUAGGCUUAAGAGUUAGGUAAAUCCGGCUCUUUUUAAGGCUGAGACACGACGUCGAGCACCUACGGGUGUGAAGUCAUUGAUGCCAUGCUUCCAGGAAAAGCCUCUAAGCUUCAGAUUGUAAGGAAUCGUACCCCAAACCGACACAGGUGGUCGGGUAGAGAAUACCAAGGCGCUUGAGAGAACUCGGGUGAAGGAACUAGGCAAAAUGGUACCGUAACUUCGGGAGAAGGUACGCUCUUGAUGGUGAAGUCCCUCGCGGAUGGAGCUGACGAGAGUCGCAGAUACCAGGUGGCUGCAACUGUUUAUUAAAAACACAGCACUGUGCAAAAUCGUAAGAUGACGUAUACGGUGUGACGCCUGCCCGGUGCCGGAAGGUUAAUUGAUGGGGUUAGACUUCGGUCGAAGCUCUUGAUCGAAGCCCCGGUAAACGGCGGCCGUAACUAUAACGGUCCUAAGGUAGCGAAAUUCCUUGUCGGGUAAGUUCCGACCUGCACGAAUGGCGUAAUGAUGGCCACGCUGUCUCCACCCGAGACUCAGUGAAAUUGAAAUCGCUGUGAAGAUGCAGUGUACCCGCGGCUAGACGGAAAGACCCCGUGAACCUUUACUACAGCUUGGCACUGAACAUUGACCCUACAUGUGUAGGAUAGGUGGGAGGCUUUGAAGCAAGUACGCCAGUAUUUGUGGAGCCGUCCUUGAAAUACCACCCUUGUAGUGUUGAUGUUCUAACGUCGACCCCUAAUCGGGGUUGCGGACAGUGCCUGGUGGGUAGUUUGACUGGGGCGGUCUCCUCCCAAAGAGUAACGGAGGAGCACGAAGGUGGGCUAAUCACGGUUGGACAUCGUGAGGUUAGUGCAAUGGCAUAAGCCCGCUUGACUGCGAGAAUGACAAUUCGAGCAGGUGCGAAAGCAGGUCAUAGUGAUCCGGUGGUUCUGAAUGGAAGGGCCAUCGCUCAACGGAUAAAAGGUACUCCGGGGAUAACAGGCUGAUACCGCCCAAGAGUUCAUAUCGACGGCGGUGUUUGGCACCUCGAUGUCGGCUCAUCACAUCCUGGGGCUGAAGUCGGUCCCAAGGGUAUGGCUGUUCGCCAUUUAAAGUGGUACGCGAGCUGGGUUUAGAACGUCGUGAGACAGUUCGGUCCCUAUCUGCCGUGGGCGUUGGAAGAUUGAAGGGGGCUGCUCCUAGUACGAGAGGACCGGAGUGGACGAACCUCUGGUGUUCGGGUUGUGUCGCCAGACGCAUUGCCCGGUAGCUAAGUUCGGAAUCGAUAACCGCUGAAAGCAUCUAAGCGGGAAGCGAGCCCUGAGAUGAGUCUUCCCUGAUACUUUAAGUAUCCUAAAGGGUUGUCGGAGACUACGACGUUGAUAGGUCAGGUGUGUAAGUGCUGUGAGGCAUUGAGCUAACUGAUACUAAUUGCCCGUGAGGCUUAACCAU
rnacentral:rRNA from 1 species